GACGAACGCUGGCGGCGUGCCUAAUACAUGCAAGUAGAACGCACAGUUUAUACCUUAGCUUGCUACACCAUAGACUGUGAGUUGCGAACGGGUGAGUAACGCGUAGGUAACCUGCCUGGUAGCGGGGGAUAACUAUUGGAAACGACAGCUAAUACCGUAUAAUAUUAAUUAUUGCAGGAAAAUUAUUCGAAAGGUGAAAUUGUACCACUCUCAGAGGGACCUGCGUUGUAUUUGCUAGUAGGUGAGGUAAAGGCUCAGCUAGGCGACGAUACAUAGCCGACCUGAGAGGAUGAUCGGCCACACUGGGACUGAGACACGGCCCAGACUCCUACGGGAGGCAGCAGUAGGGAAUCUUCGGCAAUGGACGAAAGUCUGACCGAGCAACGCCGCGUGAGUGAAGAAGGUUUUCGGAUCGUAAAGCUCUGUUGUAAGAGAAGAACGGGUGUGAGAGUGGAAAGUUCACACUGUGACGGUAUCUUACCAGAAAGGGACGGCUAACUACGUG
rnacentral:rRNA from 1 species